rnacentral:rRNA from 1 species
CCGUGAAAAAAUUAGAGUGUUCAAAGCAGGCAGAUCCAAUUUUCUGCCACCGAAUACAUUAGCAUGGGAUAAUGGAAUAGGACCCUGUCCUCCUAUUUUCAGUUGGUUUUGGCAGCGCGAGGACUAGGGUAAUGAUUAAUAGGGAUAGUUGGGGGCAUUAAUAUUUAAUUGUCAGAGGUGAAAUUCUUGGAUUUAUGAAAGAUUAACUUCUGCGAAAGCAUCUGCCAAGGAUGUUUUCAUUAAUCAAGAACGAAAGUUAGGGGAUCGAAGACGAUCAGAUACCGUCGUAGUCUUAACCAUAAACGAUGCCGACCAGCGAUUAGGAGACGUUGAAUACAAAACACCACCAUCGGUGCGGUCGUCCUUGGCGUCUCGGUCCUUCACGGGGCCGGGGCGCGGGGGUGGCUUAGCCCGGUGGCACCGGUGAAUGACUCCCCUAGCAGCUUGUGAG